rnacentral:rRNA from 1 species
UUAAGCGACUAAGCGUACACGGUGGAUGCCCUGGCAGUCAGAGGCGAUGAAGGACGUGCUAAUCUGCGAUAAGCGUCGGUAAGGUGAUAUGAACCGUUAUAACCGGCGAUUUCCGAAUGGGGAAACCCAGUGUGUUUCGACACACUAUCAUUAACUGAAUCCAUAGGUUAAUGAGGCGAACCGGGGGAACUGAAACAUCUAAGUACCCCGAGGAAAAGAAAUCAACCGAGAUUCCCCCAGUAGCGGCGAGCGAACGGGGAGCAGCCCAGAGCCUGAAUCAGUGUGUGUGUUAGUGGAAGCGUCUGGAAAGGCGCGCGAUACAGGGUGACAGCCCCGUACACAAAAAUGCACAUGCUGUGAGCUCGAUGAGUAGGGCGGGACACGUGGUAUCCUGUCUGAAUAUGGGGGGACCAUCCUCCAAGGCUAAAUACUCCUGACUGACCGAUAGUGAACCAGUACCGUGAGGGAAAGGCGAAAAGAACCCCGGCGAGGGGAGUGAAAAAGAACCUGAAACCGUGUACGUACAAGCAGUGGGAGCACGCUUAGGCGUGUGACUGCGUACCUUUUGUAUAAUGGGUCAGCGACUUAUAUUCUGUAGCAAGGUUAACCGAAUAGGGGAGCCGAAGGGAAACCGAGUCUUAACUGGGCGUUAAGUUGCAGGGUAUAGACCCGAAACCCGGUGAUCUAGCCAUGGGCAGGUUGAAGGUUGGGUAACACUAACUGGAGGACCGAACCGACUAAUGUUGAAAAAUUAGCGGAUGACUUGUGGCUGGGGGUGAAAGGCCAAUCAAACCGGGAGAUAGCUGGUUCUCCCCGAAAGCUAUUUAGGUAGCGCCUCGUGAAUUCAUCUCCGGGGGUAGAGCACUGUUUCGGCAAGGGGGUCAUCCCGACUUACCAACCCGAUGCAAACUGCGAAUACCGGAGAAUGUUAUCACGGGAGACACACGGCGGGUGCUAACGUCCGUCGUGAAGAGGGAAACAACCCAGACCGCCAGCUAAGGUCCCAAAGUCAUGGUUAAGUGGGAAACGAUGUGGGAAGGCCCAGACAGCCAGGAUGUUGGCUUAGAAGCAGCCAUCAUUUAAAGAAAGCGUAAUAGCUCACUGGUCGAGUCGGCCUGCGCGGAAGAUGUAACGGGGCUAAACCAUGCACCGAAGCUGCGGCAGCGACGCUUAUGCGUUGUUGGGUAGGGGAGCGUUCUGUAAGCCUGUGAAGGUGUGCUGUGAGGCAUGCUGGAGGUAUCAGAAGUGCGAAUGCUGACAUAAGUAACGAUAAAGCGGGUGAAAAGCCCGCUCGCCGGAAGACCAAGGGUUCCUGUCCAACGUUAAUCGGGGCAGGGUGAGUCGACCCCUAAGGCGAGGCCGAAAGGCGUAGUCGAUGGGAAACAGGUUAAUAUUCCUGUACUUGGUGUUACUGCGAAGGGGGGACGGAGAAGGCUAUGUUGGCCGGGCGACGGUUGUCCCGGUUUAAGCGUGUAGGCUGGUUUUCCAGGCAAAUCCGGAAAAUCAAGGCUGAGGCGUGAUGACGAGGCACUACGGUGCUGAAGCAACAAAUGCCCUGCUUCCAGGAAAAGCCUCUAAGCAUCAGGUAACAUCAAAUCGUACCCCAAACCGACACAGGUGGUCAGGUAGAGAAUACCAAGGCGCUUGAGAGAACUCGGGUGAAGGAACUAGGCAAAAUGGUGCCGUAACUUCGGGAGAAGGCACGCUGAUAUGUAGGUGAAGUCCCUUGCGGAUGGAGCUGAAAUCAGUCGAAGAUACCAGCUGGCUGCAACUGUUUAUUAAAAACACAGCACUGUGCAAACACGAAAGUGGACGUAUACGGUGUGACGCCUGCCCGGUGCCGGAAGGUUAAUUGAUGGGGUUAGCGGUAACGCGAAGCUCUUGAUCGAAGCCCCGGUAAACGGCGGCCGUAACUAUAACGGUCCUAAGGUAGCGAAAUUCCUUGUCGGGUAAGUUCCGACCUGCACGAAUGGCGUAAUGAUGGCCAGGCUGUCUCCACCCGAGACUCAGUGAAAUUGAACUCGCUGUGAAGAUGCAGUGUACCCGCGGCAAGACGGAAAGACCCCGUGAACCUUUACUAUAGCUUGACACUGAACAUUGAGCCUUGAUGUGUAGGAUAGGUGGGAGGCUUUGAAGUGUGGACGCCAGUCUGCAUGGAGCCGACCUUGAAAUACCACCCUUUAAUGUUUGAUGUUCUAACGUUGACCCGUGAUCCGGGUUGCGGACAGUGUCUGGUGGGUAGUUUGACUGGGGCGGUCUCCUCCUAAAGAGUAACGGAGGAGCACGAAGGUUGGCUAAUCCUGGUCGGACAUCAGGAGGUUAGUGCAAUGGCAUAAGCCAGCUUGACUGCGAGCGUGACGGCGCGAGCAGGUGCGAAAGCAGGUCAUAGUGAUCCGGUGGUUCUGAAUGGAAGGGCCAUCGCUCAACGGAUAAAAGGUACUCCGGGGAUAACAGGCUGAUACCGCCCAAGAGUUCAUAUCGACGGCGGUGUUUGGCACCUCGAUGUCGGCUCAUCACAUCCUGGGGCUGAAGUAGGUCCCAAGGGUAUGGCUGUUCGCCAUUUAAAGUGGUACGCGAGCUGGGUUUAGAACGUCGUGAGACAGUUCGGUCCCUAUCUGCCGUGGGCGCUGGAGAAUUGAGGGGGGCUGCUCCUAGUACGAGAGGACCGGAGUGGACGCAUCACUGGUGUUCGGGUUGUCAUGCCAAUGGCACUGCCCGGUAGCUAAAUGCGGAAGAGAUAAGUGCUGAAAGCAUCUAAGCACGAAACUUGCCCCGAGAUGAGUUCUCCCUGACCUUAGGUCCUGAAGGAACGUUGAAGACGACGACGUUGAUAGGCCGGGUGUGUAAGCGCAGCGAUGCGUUGAGCUAACCGGUACUAAUGAACCGUGAGGCUUAACCUU